AGCUUUGCGCAGUGGCGGCAUCGUAGCCAAUGAGGUUUAUCUGAGGAGCGGUAUUGCUAAUUGAAAAAUAUGAUUCGUUUUGCAGGUUGAAUAUUAAGGUAAAGUAAAAAUGACUGGGAACAUUUAUUAGCAAA